GGUCGUGUAGCUCAGUCGGUUAGAGCGCAGCAUUCAUAAUGCUGAUGUCGUAGGUUCGAGUCCCACCACGACCACCA
rnacentral:tRNA from 1 species